rnacentral:rRNA from 1 species
CACCCUGGCGGCAGGCUUACACACUGCAAGUCUGAGCGGGGAAUGGUAGCUUGCUACCUAACCUAGCGGCGGACGGGUGAGUAAUGCUUAGGAAUCUGCCUAUUAGUGGGGGACAACGUUUCGAAAGGAACGCUAAUACCGCAUACGUCCUACGGGAGAAAGCAGGGAUCUUCGGACCUUGUGCUAAUAGAUGAGCCUAAGUCGGAUUAGCUAGUUGGUGGGGUAAAGGCCUACCACGGCGACGAUCUGUAGCGGGUCUGAGAGGAUGAUCCGCACACUGGGACUGAGACACGGCCCAGACUCCUACGGGAGGCAGCAGUGGGGAAUAUUGGACAAUGGGCGAAAGCCUGAUCCAGCCAUGCCGCGUGUGUGAAGAAGGCCUUUUGGUUGUAAAGCACUUUAAGCGAGGAGGAGGCUUCUUUGGUUAAUACCCAAAGUAAGUGGACGUUACUCGCAGAAUAAGCACCGGCUAACUCUGUGCCAGCAGCCGCGGUAAUACAGAGGGUGCAAGCGUUAAUCGGAUUUACUGGGCGUAAAGCGUGCGUAGGCGGCUAAUUAAGUCA